AGUAGAUGGUUUGUUCUGUGGUGGAGUCUUUUCUUCAGUAACCAUGAAGGAAAAUGAUUGACACCAGGGUUCGAAUUACACAGUGGCUUUAUGGUGAACAUUGACCCAAUUUUAUUUUUAUAUUUCAGGAACAUAAUGUUCAUAAAAUUAAAUAUAAUCUCGGACAUAAGAGUGAACAAUUACGAGAGCUCCCCUAAAUAUCUCACGGAAGGCCUCUGUCCUUUUUCAGGGGAGCAGAGUUAGAAAACUGUGAUCGUCCUACCGGGUUUAUCUUCAAUUAAGAUUUGACAUCCCAUUACAUAGCAUAUCAUUUAGCUGAGGCUUUUAUCCAAAGC